rnacentral:tRNA from 1 species
GGCAUCAUAGCUCAGACGGUAGAGCAGAGGACUGAAAAUCCUUGUGUCGUUGGUUCGAUUCCAACUGUUGCCA